UGAUACCCAAUUGCACCUUGAUUUAAAUUAUUACCUGAGUCAAUAGUGUAUACUUGGCAUGAAAACCAGACUCUUGGAACAACAGAAUAAAUAAAUGAGAAAUUAAGAGUGAGUUCUUAUAACUCCAGAAAGCCCAAGCAAUGUGGUUGAGGCUUUGAUAAAAUAAAAACUGUAAUUUGGUAGGGAGGAGGACAGACGCAUGGUUCCAAUUUGAAUAUCAGACUUAUGAAACAAACAUAAUGCAGUAAAAUUGAGAUUAUCUUUAAAAGAAAAAUAUCCCUUGUGAAACUGCAAACUUGACAUUAAGUUUAAGACAGCUUCAGUGGCCCUCUCAUUUCUCAAGAACAUACAUUGCAUCCCUAACAGAGGCAGACAGCCAGUGUCAAUCCUGCUUGGAGCAGUCAAAUCCGCUGCCUGCCCUACUGUGCUGAGCACAUUCAUUCCAAAGGCAUCUGGCUGCUGCCAUGGAAGUCAACUUCAACCAGGCUUUGGAACUGUUGCAGCAGGCUAAUAGCUCCCAGAAACUUGAGAAAUUUGUGGAAAAUAACAGGCCAAGGAAGGGCCAAAUCAAAAAACCUUGAGUUGUGAUUUGAGCAUUGCACUAAAAUGUUAUAAGAUGUAUGGACACAAAAAUAAGAAAUGCAGCACCUACUAUCCUACACCAGGGGCAAUUUAUAAAGUUAAAGCUAGAAAAGCUGCCAUUCAUGUUAUAGAUGUUUCUGAGAGGAUGUAGCCAUAAGAAGUAAGUGGCUAAAAGAAUUCCUAAGGUGGAAUGUCUGCCAGGAGUGAUGGAAGGAGCUCCAUGGCUUUAUUAUGCAGUGAGAAGAAUCUUAUAAGCAGAGA
rnacentral:lncRNA from 1 species